rnacentral:lncRNA from 1 species
CAGGAUUUCCCCAGAAUAAGCAUGAUUGCAAGUGGAAAAUUUCCUGCACGUAACAGGAAGGUGCUUGAGCAUUUUACAGAUCUGGGAUUGUAUCAAGACACCUUUACAGGGAUCCAGGCAAAAAGGCAUUCCUUCUGUCUUUUCCAAUGAGACUUCAGAUUUGAUUCUCCCUCACAUAAGUGAUGGAUCCGAAGACCAAGAAAUUUUAUGGGAGUUUUUGUCUUCUUGAUUUCAGUGAUUUUUGAUUAAGCACCGAAGCCUGCUGGGGUUUAGAGCCCUUUGUUAUAUGUGAUGAAACCUGCAGCACCCUUCCUUACCAUGAAUGCAGAUCCACAGACGGUGAUAGUUGUGGACUGUGCAGCAAGAGGCGAGUCCUACAGGCUGCUCCCUGCCAACGCUCUUCUCUGCUCAGCACCGAAAGGAAAAGAACAGUGCGUGAAGUUCUCUGAAACAUCUUCAGCUUUGCCUUCCAAAGAUUCACAAGAAAUUCAGGCAGAGUGA